rnacentral:rRNA from 1 species
GCUGGCGGCAGGCUUACACAUGCAAGUUCGAACGCCCCGCAAGGGGAGUGGCAGACUUCCUGAGUAACGCGUGGGAAUCUACCCUUUUCUACGGGAUAGCUCCGGGAAACUGGAAUUAAUACCGUAUAAGCCCUUCGGGGGAAAGAUUUAUCGGGAAAGGAUGAGCCCGCGUUGGAUUAGCUAGUUGGUGAGGUAACGGCCCACCAAGGCGACGAUCCAUAGCUGGUCUAAGAGGAUGAUCAGCCACAUUGGGACUGAGACACGGCCCAAACUCCUACGGGAGGCAGCAGUGGGGAAUAUUGGACAAUGGGCGCAAGCCUGAUCCAGCCAUGCCGCGUGAGUGAUGAAGGCCCUAGGGUUGUAAAGCUCUUUCAGUGGGGACGAUAAUGACGGUACCCACAGAAGAAGCCCCGGCUAACUUCGUGCCAGC